GAUGAAGAACGCAGCGAAAUGCGAUAAGUAAUGUGAAUUGCAGAAUUCAGUGAAUCAUCGAAUCUUUGAACGCACAUUGCGCCCCUCGGUAUUCCGAGGGGCAUGCCUGUUCGAGCGUCAUUAUAACCCUUCAAGCUCAGCUUGGUGUUGGGGCCUGCUGUAACUGGUAGCCCUUAAAAUCAGUGCCAGUGCUAUUAGGCUCUAAGCGUAGUAAUUCUUCUCGCUAUAGUGUGUAGUGAGCGCUUGCCAGAACCCCAAACUUUUAUAUGAUUGACCUCGGAUCAGGUAGGGAUACCCGCUGAACUUAAGCAUAUCAAUAAGCGGAGGA
rnacentral:misc_RNA from 1 species